rnacentral:rRNA from 1 species
GAUGAACGCUGGCGGCGUGCCUAAUACAUGCAAGUCGAGCGAACGGACGAGAAGCUUGCUUCUCUGAUGUUAGCGGCGGACGGGUGAGUAACACGUGGAUAACCUACCUAUAAGACUGGGAUAACUUCGGGAAACCGGAGCUAAUACCGGAUAAUAUUUUGAACCGCAUGGUUCAAAAGUGAAAGACGGUCUUGCUGUCACUUAUAGAUGGAUCCGCGCUGCAUUGGCUAGUUGGUAAGGUAACGGCUUACCAAGGCAACGAUGCAUAGCCGACCUGAGAGGGUGAUCGGCCACACUGGAACUGAGACACGGUCCAGACUCCUACGGGAGGCAGCAGUAGGGAAUCUUCCGCAAUGGGCGAAAGCCUGACGGAGCAACGCCGCGUGAGUGAUGAGGGUCUUCGGAUCGUAAAACUCUGUUAUUAGGGAAGAACAUAUGUGUAAGUAACUGUGCACAUCUUGACGGUACCUAAUCAGAAAGCCACGGCUAACUACGUG